rnacentral:rRNA from 1 species
CACGUAGGGUGCGAGCGUUGUCCGGAAUUAUUGGGCGUAAAGAGCUCGUAGGCGGUGUGUCGCGUCGGCCGUGAAAACCUGCAGCUUAACUGUGGGCUUGCGGUCGAUACGGGCAUCACUGGAGUUCGGCAGGGGAGACUGGAAUUCCUGGUGUAGCGGGUGAAAUGCGCAGAGUAUCAGGAGGAACACCGGUGGCGAAGGCGGGGUCUCUGGGCCGAUACUGACGCUGAGGAGCGAAAGCGUGGGGAGCAAACAGG